AACGAACGCUGGCGGCAUGCCUAACACAUGCAAGUCGAACGAGACCUCCGGGUAUAGUGGCGCACGGGUGCGUAACGCGUGGGAACCUGCCCUUAGGUUCGGAAUAACUCCCCGAAAGGGGUGCUAAUACCGGAUAAUGUCUUCGGACCAAAGAUUUAUCGCCUUUGGAUGGGCCCGCGUUGGAUUAGCUUGUUGGUAGGGUAAAAGACUACCAAGGCGACGAUCCAUAGCUGGUCUGAGAGGAUGAUCAGCCACACUGGGACUGAGACACGGCCCAGACUCCUACGGGAGGCAGCAGUGGGGAAUAUUGGAAAAUGGGCGAAAGCCUGAUCCAGCAAUGCCGCGUGAGUGAUGAAGGCAUUAGGGUUGUAAAGCUCUUUUAACCGGGAUGAUAAUGACAGUACCGGGAGAAUAAGCCCCGGCUAACUCCGUG
rnacentral:rRNA from 1 species